AAUUUUUUAUAUCUCUUUUAGAAAUUUUUCUAACAGGAUCUCUGGCCUUGGUCAGAAAUCCCAA
ensembl:snRNA U7 U7 small nuclear RNA